UGGAGGUCUCGGACAGCGAGUCGGAU
rnacentral:piRNA from 1 species